rnacentral:misc_RNA from 1 species
UAUCCCAGCUCCGCCAGCUUCCUGUGCAUUAAGCCCACACAUAAAUGCUAUUGUCAUUACAGUUUGCAAUGAAACCCAUGUUUACUGGAAAAAUACAAAUCUAUGGAAUUGAAUUAAUGAUCACAAAAUUGCCUUUUUGCUGUGUUUAUGUAUAUUAAAUUCAUCCCCAUUUAAUUCAACUUUAAUUAGAGAAAGAAGAUGAUGAGAACCUCCAUCGCUUCAUAGGCCCAUCGACCUCUUGUCUUCAAUAGCAAUUAUCUUAUCUUUAAAUAACAUUAAAGGAGAAAAAGUGGCUUAAAUUAUUAAUAAGGGUAAUAAGAAACAAAGAGUGAUGUAAAAAGCCUUAAGAUCGGAGAGGGG